rnacentral:rRNA from 1 species
CAGCCGCCGCGGGAAUACGAAGGGUGCAAGCGUUAAUCGGAAUUACUGGGCGUAAAGGGUGCGCAGGCGGUUAUAUAAGACAGAUGUGAAAUCCCCGGGCUCAACCUGGGACCUGCAUUUGUGACUGUAUAGCUAGAGUACGGUAGAGGGGGAUGGAAUUCCGCGUGUAGCAGUGAAAUGCGUAGAUAUGCGGAGGAACACCGAUGGCGAAGGCAAUCCCCUGGACCUGUACUGACGCUCAUGCACGAAAGCGUGGGGAGCAAACAGGAUUAGAUACCCCCGUAGUCCCUGUCUCUUAUAC